AGAUUGAACGCUGGCGGCAUGCCUUACACAUGCAAGUCGAACGGUAGAGUAGCAAUACUUGAGAGUGGCGAACGGGUGAGUAAUAUAUCGGAACGUGCCCAGUCGUGGGGGAUAACGUAGAGAAAUUUACGCUAAUACCGCAUACGAUCUAAGGAUGAAAGCGGGGGACCGUAAGGCCUCGCGCGAUUGGAGCGGCUGAUAUCAGAUUAGGUUGUUGGUGAGGUAAAAGCUCACCAAGCCGACGAUCUGUAGCUGGUUUGAGAGAACGACCAGCCACACUGGGACUGAGACACGGCCCAGACUCCUACGGGAGGCAGCAGUGGGGAAUUUGGACAAUGGGCGAAAGCCUGAUCCAGCAAUGCCGCGUGCAGGAAGAAGGCCUUCGGGGUUGUAAACUGCUUUUGUACGGAACGAAACGGUCUGCUUUAAUACAGUGGCUAAUGACGGUACCGUAAGAAUAAGACACCGGCUAACUACGUGCCAGCAGCCGCGGUAA
rnacentral:rRNA from 1 species